UGGGGAAUAUUGCACAAUGGGCGCAAGCCUGAUGCAGCCAUGCCGCGUGUAUGAAGAAGGCCUUCGGGUUGUAAAGUACUUUCAGCGGGGAGGAAGGCGAUAAGGUUAAUAACCUUGUCGAUUGACGUUACCCGCAGAAGAAGCACCGGCUAACUCCGUGCCAGCAGCCGCGGUAAUACGGAGGGUGCAAGCGUUAAUCGGAAUUACUGGGCGUAAAGCGCACGCAGGCGGUCUGUCAAGUCGGAUGUGAAAUCCCCGGGCUCAACCUGGGAACUGUAUUCGAAACUGGCAGGCUAGAGUCUUGUAGAGGGGGGUAGAAUUCCAGGUGUAGCGGUGAAAUGCGUAGAGAUCUGGAGGAAUACCGGUGGCGAAGGCGGCCCCCUGGACAAAGACUGACGCUCAGGUGCGAAAGCGUGGGGAGCAAACA
rnacentral:rRNA from 1 species